GACGAACGCUGGCGGCGUGCCUAAUACAUGCAAGUCGAGCGGGCCAGAACAAAGGGCAACCAGAGUUCUGGUUUAGCGGCGCACGGGUGAGUAACGCGUAGGUAUUCUACUCUGAAGACCGGGAUAACACCUCGAAGGGGGUGCUAAUACUGGAUACGCUCUUUCUCUCAACGGAGGGGAAGAGGAAAGGUGGCGUAAGGCGCAAGCCUGCUACCACUUCGGAAUGAGCCUGCGUCCUAUUAGCUAGUUGGUAGGGUAAUUGCCUACCAAGGCUAUGAUGGGUAGCUGGUCUGAGAGGACGGUCAGCCACACUGGGACUGGGACACGGCCCAGACUCCUACGGGAGGCAGCAUG
rnacentral:rRNA from 1 species